rnacentral:rRNA from 1 species
UACGUAGGGUGCAAGCGUUAAUCGGAAUUACUGGGCGUAAAGCGCGCGUAGGCGGCUUUGCAAGUCGAGUGUGAAAUCCCCAGGCUUAACCUGGGAACUGCAUUCGAGACUGCAUAGCUAGAGUAUGGGAGAGGGAAGUGGAAUUUCAGGUGUAGCGGUGAAAUGCGUAGAUAUCUGAAGGAACAUCAGUGGCGAAAGCGACUUCCUGGACCAAUACUGACGCUCAUGUGCGAAAGCGUGGGGAGCAAACAGG